CCAGACUCCUACGGGAGGCAGCAGUGGGGAAUAUUGCACAAUGGGGGAAACCCUGAUGCAGCGACGCCGCGUGAGUGAAGAAGUAUUUCGGUAUGUAAAGCUCUAUCAGCAGGGAAGAAAAUGACGGUACCUGAUUAAGAAGCCCCGGCUAACUACGUGCCAGCAGCCGCGGUAAUACGUAGGGGGCAAGCGUUAUCCGGAAUUACUGGGUGUAAAGGGAGCGUAGACGGCAAUGCAAGCCUGGAGUGAAAGCCCGCGGCCUAACCGCGGGACUGCUUUGGGAACUGUGUGGCUGGAGUGCAGGAGAGGUAAGUGGAAUUCCUAGUGUAGCGGUGAAAUGCGUAGAUAUUAGGAGGAACACCAGUGGCGAAGGCGGUCUGCUGGACAGCAACUGACGCUGAGGCGCGAAAGCGUGGGGAGCAAACAGGAUUAGAUACCCUCGUA
rnacentral:rRNA from 1 species